rnacentral:rRNA from 1 species
GGGUUGUGAGGUUAAGCGACUAAGCGUACACGGUGGAUGCCCUGGCAGUCAGAGGCGAUGAAGGACGUGCUAAUCUGCGAAAAGCGUCGGUAAGGUGAUAUGAACCGUUAUAACCGGCGAUGUCCGAAUGGGGAAACCCAGUGCAAUUCGUUGCACUAUCGUUAACUGAAUACAUAGGUUAACGAGGCGAACCGGGGGAACUGAAACAUCUAAGUACCCCGAGGAAAAGAAAUCAACCGAGAUUCCCCCAGUAGCGGCGAGCGAACGGGGAGCAGCCCAGAGUCUGAAUCAGCUUGUGUGUUAGUGGAACGGUCUGGAAAGUCCGACGGUACAGGGUGAUAGUCCCGUACACCAAAAUGCACAGGCUGUGAACUCGAAGAGUAGGGCGGGACACGUGGUAUCCUGUCUGAAUAUGGGGGGACCAUCCUCCAAGGCUAAAUACUCCUGACUGACCGAUAGUGAACCAGUACCGUGAGGGAAAGGCGAAAAGAACCCCGGCGAGGGGAGUGAAAAAGAACCUGAAACCGUGUACGUACAAGCAGUGGGAGCACCUUCGGGUGUGACUGCGUACCUUUUGUAUAAUGGGUCAGCGACUUAUAUUCUGUAGCAAGGUUAACCGUAUAGGGGAGCCGCAGGGAAACCGAGUCUUAACUGGGCGUUAAGUUGCAGGGUAUAGACCCGAAACCCGGUGAUCUAGCCAUGGGCAGGUUGAAGGUUGGGUAACACUAACUGGAGGACCGAACCGACUAAUGUUGAAAAAUUAGCGGAUGACUUGUGGCUGGGGGUGAAAGGCCAAUCAAACCGGGAGAUAGCUGGUUCUCCCCGAAAGCUAUUUAGGUAGCGCCUCGUGAACUCAUCUUCGGGGGUAGAGCACUGUUUCGGCUAGGGGGUCAUCCCGACUUACCAACCCGAUGCAAACUACGAAUACCGAAGAAUGUUAUCACGGGAGACACACGGCGGGUGCUAACGUCCGUCGUGAAGAGGGAAACAACCCAGACCGCCAGCUAAGGUCCCAAAGUCAUGGUUAAGUGGGAAACGAUGUGGGAAGGCACAGACAGCCAGGAUGUUGGCUUAGAAGCAGCCAUCAUUUAAAGAAAGCGUAAUAGCUCACUGGUCGAGUCGGCCUGCGCGGAAGAUGUAACGGGGCUAAACCAUGCACCGAAGCUGCGGCAGCGACACUAUGUGUUGUUGGGUAGGGGAGCGUUCUGUAAGCCUGCGAAGGUGUGCUGUGAGGCAUGCUGGAGGUAUCAGAAGUGCGAAUGCUGACAUAAGUAACGAUAAAGCGGGUGAAAAGCCCGCUCGCCGGAAGACCAAGGGUUCCUGUCCAACGUUAAUCGGGCAGGGUGAGUCGACCCCUAAGGCGAGGCCGAAAGGCGUAGUCGAUGGGAAACAGGUUAAUAUUCCUGUACUUGGUGUUACUGCGAAGGGGGGACGGAGAAGGCUAUGUUAGCCGGGCGACGGUUGUCCCGGUUUAAGCAUGUAGGCUGAUUGUCCAGGCAAAUCCGGAUAAUCAAGGCUGAGGUGUGAUGACGAGGCACUACGGUGCUGAAGUAACAAAUGCCCUGCUUCCAGGAAAAGCCUCUAAGCAUCAGGUAACAUUAAAUCGUACCCCAAACCGACACAGGUGGUCAGGUAGAGAAUACCAAGGCGCUUGAGAGAACUCGGGUGAAGGAACUAGGCAAAAUGGUGCCGUAACUUCGGGAGAAGGCACGCUGGUGUGUAGGUGAAGUCCCUGCGGAUGGAGCUGAGACCAGUCGAAGAUACCAGCUGGCUGCAACUGUUUAUUAAAAACACAGCACUGUGCAAACACGAAAGUGGACGUAUACGGUGUGACGCCUGCCCGGUGCCGGAAGGUUAAUUGAUGGGGUUAUCCGUAAGGAGAAGCUCUUGAUCGAAGCCCCGGUAAACGGCGGCCGUAACUAUAACGGUCCUAAGGUAGCGAAAUUCCUUGUCGGGUAAGUUCCGACCUGCACGAAUGGCGUAAUGAUGGCCAGGCUGUCUCCACCCGAGACUCAGUGAAAUUGAACUCGCUGUGAAGAUGCAGUGUACCCGCGGCAAGACGGAAAGACCCCGUGAACCUUUACUAUAGCUUGACACUGAACAUUGAGCCUUGAUGUGUAGGAUAGGUGGGAGGCUUUGAAGCGUGGACGCCAGUCUGCGUGGAGCCAACCUUGAAAUACCACCCUUUAAUGUUUGAUGUUCUAACGUUGGCCCCUUACCGGGGUUGCGGACAGUGUCUGGUGGGUAGUUUGACUGGGGCGGUCUCCUCCCAAAGCGUAACGGAGGAGCACGAAGGUUAGCUAAUCCUGGUCGGACAUCAGGAGGUUAGUGCAAUGGCAUAAGCUAGCUUGACUGCGAGCGUGACGGCGCGAGCAGGUGCGAAAGCAGGUCAUAGUGAUCCGGUGGUUCUGAAUGGAAGGGCCAUCGCUCAACGGAUAAAAGGUACUCCGGGGAUAACAGGCUGAUACCGCCCAAGAGUUCAUAUCGACGGCGGUGUUUGGCACCUCGAUGUCGGCUCAUCACAUCCUGGGGCUGAAGUAGGUCCCAAGGGUAUGGCUGUUCGCCAUUUAAAGUGGUACGCGAGCUGGGUUUAGAACGUCGUGAGACAGUUCGGUCCCUAUCUGCCGUGGGCGCUGGAGAAUUGAGGGGGGCUGCUCCUAGUACGAGAGGACCGGAGUGGACGCAUCACUGGUGUUCGGGUUGUCAUGCCAAUGGCACUGCCCGGUAGCUAAAUGCGGAAGAGAUAAGUGCUGAAAGCAUCUAAGCACGAAACUUGCCCCGAGAUGAGUUCUCCCUGAGACUUUAAGUCUCCUGAAGGAACGUUGAAGACGACGACGUUGAUAGGCCGGGUGUGUAAGCGCAGCGAUGCGUUGAGCUAACCGGUACUAAUGAACCGUGAGGCUUAACCUUACAACGCCGAAG